UGAAUUUUUGAAUGACUUUUU
rnacentral:piRNA from 1 species